GAGCGCUAAGGAUAACUGCAGGAGACACAUAACCAAUAGUGAAUUAGUAGAUUGUACUUUUAAAUUGUCCUGGGCAACUCGGAUGUGGAGUACGUCGGCUGGAGGGAACGGAGACGUACAGGGUUGUAUUGAGAGGGACCCAAGACCCAGGUGUUUGUACUAGUUUUGAAGGAAUAAAUCCACUCGCGUGUGAAAAUGCCGGCUUCCUGGUCCCUUCUCUUGCAGAACGAGCGCGCAAAUUGUUCGAUGAGUGGUGGUCGGGUAAGGUCACAAUUUGGAGUCAGAUGAUUAACGGACUUUUGUAUUGAUCUAAAAUAAUAUCCAACACGCCAUGAAAAUCCUCUCGAGGGAUUUGUUUUCGAGAAGAAGCAGGAAGUGACGUACAUGGCAGGGCCGCUCUCAAGUGGACUCGUUUGUUUCUUUUAGUUUUACCUCCGGGAAGGUAGCUCCUUGUUCCUUCGUGUUAGUUAAAAUGCCAGCUCGUUGCAUUGCUGGACAUGGCUUGAACACUUGGGAGGAUGGAUUUACCCUUCAUAACUUUGCAAGAGACCCGGUUCGUCGUGAAAAAUGGAUUGCAUGGGUGCAAAGGACGAGAGCUUCGUGGGUUCCAAAUGAGAGAAUGUGACAGUAGUCCACGUUCCACACAGCCUGGUCAUCCCACACUUUGGAUGCCAACAGGACAGCUCCCAGCACCAUACGCCUCCACGUACCAGGACUCAUGGAAAUCUCUGCGUAUGUCAGCAGCCUCUCCAGGUGGGACAGCGAGCUACGCUAUAACGACACAGAAUGGCUCCUCACCAGCAUGACGAUGGCGCACUCGGACCUGAGCUGCGCGGCACAGAAGAGCGUGCGGACAAAGCAGUAAACCUGCCUCUGCUCCGGGUCUCGACGAUCAUAGUCGGCGGGCACCUGCCUUGAUCUCUGCGGCCCAAAAGGAGAAUUGAAGCUAAAUGUAAACGCCAGCCGAUUCUGGAUCAACAGACUUUGUCAACACAGCAUUUUAAGUGACACAUGGACACUAUUUGUAGGCACAUUGUUCAAUCUGGAAUUUCCUUUUUAACCAAUAUCGGUUAUAUCAAGGUCUGUUUUGUCGAGGCUCCACUGUAUUUUUAGAUGGGUUAUGUUGUGUUAGAUUUUACAUGUUGCAGUCCAUUUAAAUAAUGGACUGUGUUGCAGAGUUAAUAGUUAUAUGUAUAUGCUUUUUUUGUCUUUUAUUUUUUUA